UACGUAGGGUGCAAGCGUUGUCCGGAAUUAUUGGGCGUAAAGAGCUCGUAGGCGGCUUGUCGCGUCGACUGUGAAAACCUGGGGCUUAACUCCGGGCCUGCAGUCGAUACGGGCAUCACUUGAGUUCGGCAGGGGAGACUGGAAUUCCUGGUGUAGCGGUGAAAUGCGCAGAUAUCAGGAGGAACACCGGUGGCGAAGGCGGGUCUCUGGGCCGAUACUGACGCUGAGGAGCGAAAGCAUGGGUAGCGAACAGG
rnacentral:rRNA from 1 species